GAGACCCCUGCCUCUAGUUGCUACCUUUAUUCUCAGGAGUAAUGGAGCUAAUUAGAGGGACUGCCGUCGCUGAGACGGAGGAAGGAGGGGGCUACGGCAGGUCAGUAUGCCCCGAAACCCUCGGGCCACACGCGGGCUGCAAUGGUAAGGACAAUGAGUUUCAAUUCCGAAAGGAGGAGGCAAUCUCUAAACCUUACCACAGUUAUGAUUGAGGGCUGAAACCCGCCCUCAUGAAUAUGGAAUCCCUAGUAACCGCGUGUCACUAUCGCGCGGUGAAUAC
rnacentral:rRNA from 1 species